CUUACCUGCAACACCAAGGUCGUCAUUGACUUGAUCAGAAUAUUAACAACCUGGACUGAGUUACAGGGUGACGACCUCCAUCAGCUGAUCUAAGAUGGUGCCCAGGCUCACAGGGAGGAGACAAACAGGAAGAGUAACAUCUGUUCUGUCCGACCUCAGAGAACAAGGGGCCAACGAAGGACAGUCAAUCACUCUGUGAGCGACUAGCGAUGCCUCGCCGCUCUACUGAACCACCCAGGAUGCAUUGCUUCUUUCAGCUGUUCAUCUUUUGUGUGUGAAUUUGUUUUGUAUCACGAAAUAUGAAAUGUGUGUAUUGUUUGGUGUUUCCCCAAAUGGAUCAAUAAAGUUUUCUGAUUUAA